rnacentral:rRNA from 1 species
GAUGAACGCUGGCGGCGUGCCUAAUACAUGCAAGUCGAGCGAACGGACGAGAAGCUUGCUUUUCUGAUGUUAGCGGCGGACGGGUGAGUAACACGUGGAUAACCUACCUAUAAGACUGGGAUAACUUCGGGAAACCGGAGCUAAUACCGGAUAAUAUUUUGAACCGCAUGGUUCAAAAGUGAAAGACGGUCUUGCUGUCACUUAUAGAUGGAUCCGCGCUGCAUUAGUUAGUUGGUAAGGUAACGGCUUACCAAGGCAACGUUGCAUAGCCGACCUGAGAGGGUGAUCGGCCACACGGGAACUGGGAAACGGUCCGAACUCCUACGGGAGGCAGCAGUAGGGAAUCUUCCGCAAUGGGCGAAAGCCUGACGGAGCAACCCCGCGUGAGUGAUGAAGGUCUUCGGAUCGUAAAACUCUGUUAUUAGGGAAGAACAUAUGUGUAAGUAACUGUGCACAUCUUGACGGUACCUGAUCAGAAAGCCACGGCUAACUACGUG